GUGUUCCCCCCCCACCAAAUUUUAUCUUGAAAUGUAACCCCACGUGUCGAGGGAGGGAAAUGAUUGGAUUAUGGGGGUGGUUUCCCCCUCUGCUGUUCUCAUGCUAGUGAGCGAAUUCUCACAAGAUCUCAUGGUUUUAUAAAUGUUCGUUUUUCCCGCCCCUCACAUACUUCUCUUUCCUGCCGCCAGGUGAAGAAGCUCCUUGCUUCCCCUUCUGCCAUGACUGAGUUUUCUGAGGCCUCCCCAGCCAUGUGGAACUCCCAGGCCUCACUCUGAGCAGAUAGUUGAGCCGGGCCAAGGCCUCCAGGAAGACGUCGGCACCCUUGUUGGAGAACUCAUAGCGGCCAGCGAUAAAGAAGUACAAGGUCUUGUCCAAGUUGAAGUCCAGAUGCCUAAAGAACCCACAAGGCACGCCCAUUGUUCCGGUGCUCAAGAACUAAGGAGGCCGAAUACCCAGGUGCCCCCUCCCUCAGACCCAGGAGUCUGGGCCCCCAGCUGCCCUCUCCCUCCCCCAGACCUAGAUGGUUAGGCUCCCAACGCCCUCCUCUCUUAAGACCUAGGUAUAUGCCCCACGUACCCAUAA